rnacentral:rRNA from 1 species
CCUCGGAUCAGGUAGGGAUACCCGCUGAACUUAAGCUAU